GGGAUGUAGGGUAUGAAGGCAGAAGAAGGAGAGGAGUGGGAGGUAGGAAAAGAUGGCAUUUUAAUAGCCUCUACCACACUGAUUCAGCACAGUAGGAACCUUGUGCUUCAGACUCAAACUGUUUCCUUCCUGUUCAGCAUUGCACUUGGCCCACUUUUCCUGAAGCCAUGCAUUGAUGUCUGUGGACAGAACUGGAGCAUCCUCAAAGAUCAAUGCAACAACCAUUCAAAUUGGAGGUUGACCGUUGCCUGUUGUCUCAAAGUACCAUGAUUCAUUGCCAAAGGGACGAGUUUUUUGGACCUCAGUUGAUUUGAUAUUUGAUCUGUUAUUUCCUUCUCUUGAUAUAGCAAAGAGCAAAUGAUAAUAAAACAUGAAUAGAAAAUUAAAUAAGAAUUAAAAAUUUGUAGAAAAUAUUUUUAAAUAUAAGAGCAUUGCAAAACACAUUUACUGUAAGUGCAGCUGCAGAGUCAGCUGAGUCACCACUAGUCCUGACCUUCUCUGGCUGCCAAUGGCCAUGGUGCCAGGUCCUUGUCAGCAUUAAUCACAGUAACAAGUAAUGAGCUGAAAGUGUGAAUUUUGGUUAUAACUGUGGGGGUCUUAUUUAUGGUGAAAAAGGUCAUAAAGAAAAUAGAUUACAAUUUAAAUGGUAGAAACCUCUCACAAUAUAGGAUGUUUAAUAUCUAACUAUUUUUUCUCAUCCCCAAAUGCUAAAAUAAUUUGAUGUCAUAUAAACAAAGAAAAUAUCUAAACAAAAAUAGAAAAUGCGGGAGUGAUGAGUUAGUGGGAACUUGAUCUCCUGGCCUCUUGAAGGGACUUCAGCUCUUGGCCCCUUUUCCUUAGCCUUCAUUUUCUUCCCCUCAAAAGAGGAGGACUGGCUGAUUUGACUGGUGAGCUAUAAAGGAGAAAUUGAGCAAGACGUGCCUGCAGGACACAGGCAUUUCUCUCCUAUUCCAAGAUGUUCUGAUGAGCUCUGCCCUCUGGUAGAGGUCUGUGGUUGCUCAGCUGUGGUUGUGAUUACUGGGAGUUGAAGUAUGAGCAAGACAUUUGGCCACAGAUCUGGAUCUAUUUGUUUCAUGCCUUAUCUGUUUGCUUUUUGUGUACUGCUUCUAAAAACAGCAACAGCAACAAUUUUAACUAGACAGGGGAAGUAACUGGUAUGAUUAAUUGGCCCCCUAAAACUCCAAUAGUGAGGCAUGGCUUUGAAAGGAGGGUGAUGGUUUUGGUUCCAGAUGGAUUAAAGAGGAAGCGACAGAAGGCCCUCACAGUGAAAAUGCCCAGUAGGCAGUUGGAGAUGUGGGGCUGGUGUCUCAGGGUAAUAAAUAAUAACCAUGUUGCUUGUGGCUGUGAUGCUGGGUGCCAUGUGAAUUUAUUUUAUUUUAGUACAACGUAUUAGCUUCAUUAAACUAUUUUCCCAUAGGGGGACAAGCCAAACAGCCACAGGUCAUGUGUCUACUUGGGCAUAACCAAUACCAGGCAAAUUAGCCAAUAUUACAAUGUCAUUUUUAAAAAGUUGUUGUUGCAAUCCAAAUUUCAUUUAGCGCAAAGCAAUGAAAGGAGUGGAAUGGAAUAAAAGGAACUGGUGAAGAAAGCAGAGAGAACCACAAUUAUUCUCAGUCUGUCUCAUUUAUUAGGUCAGAAUAUAUGGUAAUAGCCUGCUGAAACUCAGCAUUUCUGAAAUCAGAGGAAUAAAUAGAGAGAGAGGCCAUUGGUCCACCCAUGCCAUGACUUUUCACAUGACAGGAAAAAUUGCUGCCCAGUCUGUGCUAGCUUGGCCUCUUCCUUCCAUAUUUACUAUGUAUAAAAAUUACUCUGUGUGGGAUCUUUCAUUUGAGUUAAUGACUAAAUGAUAAUAGUAUAUAUAUAUAUAUAUAAAUAACUCACUUUAAAAGUUCUAAAAAAUAAGAUCUUUGAGGAACUAUCAAUGCAAGGCAAGCAGCAUCUUAUCCCAGAAGGCAUAACGUAGGUCAAGAAGCCAAAAAACAACAAUCGUGAAAUCAUAUGGACAGUUGCAGAUUCAUGUUAUCCCACAAACACCCAGAGGGAGUUAGAUGCGAGCUCUAAGAGCCUGGGACUGCGUUGGGGCUGUCUGUGUUAGUUUAUCAACAUUAAGAUACUGUGAAACAGAAAAGGGUGGAGGAAAAUUUCAGAAGAAUGAGAGUGGUAGGAUCAUGGUGCCAAUGGUUUUAUGUAAUGGUUCCCCACAAAACUCGGCUUUCAAAUUAUUUCUAAAUUAUUACCUCUUGGUAUUAUUAUUGUUGUUAUUUAAAUUCAUGUCAAGUCAUAUCAAAGUGAGUUCCUUGAACUGAUUUUGAAAAGUUUUAUAUGAGCCUUUAUUACAUGGAAAAAUAGGUCUUCAUACUACUGCUCUGUCUGAGGCUUCAAAAAGAUGUCUUGGAUGCAUCUGGGAAGUUUGGGCCUUUGCGGAUAGGGUUGCCUAAGAUGUGCUUGGGCCCAAGAUGCUGUGUCCCCUGGCCCCACCCAGGGAAAUCACCAACACCACCGCCACCUUCAUUCAGACUCUGCAGCACCCCACUGCUAACAUUCAGUGAGAUUGGGAUGGGGUGAGUUUUGCACAAAAUUAUUCAUGGCCCAAAGUCUGGGCCACAUAAGUAGUCUUGCUGCAAAAAGUUGGUAAAAACCUGGUCUCCAUGAGGCUUGGCUAUAGAGUGAUUCGUUUGGGGAGGCUGUUUCAGGUGAACUGACAGUUUUUAAAAUAAUGGAUAUAACCGACUCUUCAAAGAAAAAAUAUCAUUCUCAAUUUUAAAAAAUCAUGCACUUCAGUGGCAGCCUGUGUUUUGCAUGAGUGAUAUUUCAGCAGACAGAUGAUGACAGUGCUGGUGAUGGUCCUGAGGUGAGGGACUGUAUGGCAUGCCCUUCAUCCCUUUAAGACUUUUCAUGCAUUGUUGCCUCUAUUCCCCUGACUGCUUCACCACCUGGUAAAUUUCUACUCACCCUUACAGCCUCAACUGGAAUAUUCCUUCCUCUGAGUCUAGCCCACUUAGCAAUAAUUGCAUAAAUUAUUCUCCCUCUGUAUUCACUUAAUGCCUUACUUAUACAUCCAUUGAGUUGAACCAUAACUCCCUUCUAUUUGUGGGAUUUAUUGUCCUCAGAGGUGGUAAAAGUAUAAACAAUUUAGAGUUGAUUUACAUAAAAAUCAUGGAUAAGAGAACCGUAAUGGACUAGUAAAAACGGUAGCAAUUUUUAGGCAUAUCUUCAACCUGAAAGUUUCUAUUAAGGGAGACUUCCAUGCCAAGUGUCUCUGUAGAAGAAAAUGGAAGGACAAAUGAAUUAUGUAACUGAUUACAUGAAAAGUCAUUCUGUAUAAUGUUCCUAUGGUAUUCAUUUCUUGAUUUAUUUGUUUGAUAAACAUGUCUUGAGAAGCUAUGUGCCAGGCAUUGUGCUAGGCCCUUAGGGGUACAUAGCGAUGAACAGAGAUAAGGUUGCUAUUCUCAUGAAGCUUAUAUUCUGGCAUUACAGAGAGAAAAAAAAGGAUGGUAAAUGGAUUGCUAAGAAGGACACUAACAACCAUUUAUUCAGAUUUCACUGUCAAGGUACCAAGUAAAUCUCAAUAUCCCAAUGACAUUUUCCUCUUUCCCCUAAAAACAAAACAAAAAACAGACAUCUGUUUUAUUCCAGUAAGUUUCAUCAUUUUAACAAUUACUCAAAAGGCUGAAAAUAAUUCAUAACCCAGAUAAAGAAAAUAUUUACAAAGCUCCUAGUGGUUUUUAAAAAUUGUUGUUUAAAAAUGUACUCUACAAAGGGGUCUUUGACCAGAUGGCUGUUUCAAAGAACAAUGAUUUCAUGUUUUAAAACUAACUUUAAAAUGGAGGUGUCUUUGCCUUCCAGGAAAACGUAGCAGCUGUGAGAUUAUUUCACUUCUUUUUCUUCCACAUUUUCCUGGAUUUAAUUGUAAGCAAAAACAAUAUAUAAAAGAGAAAAUUGUAGCAACACAGAACAAAACCUAUUGCAAAACAAGCAAUUGCACAUUUUUAACCACAACGAAAACCCAAAGGCAACCUUUUAUAAAAACUUAGCUGAGGAAGGAGACAACAUAGCACUUUCCUAGGGAAAUCUGCCUCUUCCCUGCUAAAUUUAGAAUAUAACCCUCUUACAUCUCAAUAAAAUCAACAUUGACUUGGUUUUCUUUCUUUCUUUCUUUUUUUUUUUUUUUUUUUUUUUUGAGAUGGAGUCUCACUCUAUCACCCAGGCUGGAGUGCAGUGGCAUGAUCUCAGCUCACUGCAACCUCCGCCUCCUGGUUUCAAGCGAUUUUCCUGCCUCAGCCUCCCGGGUAGCUGGGACUACAAGUGCCUGCCACCACGCCUGCCUAAUUUUUGCAUUUUUAGUAGAGACGGCGUUUCAGCAUCUUGGCCAGGAUGGUCUUGAUCUCUUGACCUCAUGAUCUGCCCACCUUGGCCUCCCAAAGUGAUGGGAUUACAGGUGUGAGCCACCAUGCCCAGCCUGACUUGGUUUUCUAUAGGAAUGAAUAUACUUGAGGAAUGACUGAAAAGGCUUCAGGAAAUGGCAAUGGAGAAAUUAGCCACAAGAAAGAAUAUAAGGUAACUGCUGUCUUGUGCCCUGUGUUGGUCAAGUCCUGCCAACCACUGUGUCCAGUUCUAGGAACUAAAUAAAGAGGUGGGGCACAGUGGGAAGGAGCUGGAGAAAGCCUCCAAAGUGACUAAAGAGAAGAGAGAUGAGGCUAAAAGGCCAAGGGAAGAUAUCUGCAAGAUGACAGCAGCAGAUGAAGUACUGUCUGAAGCAAUAUGGAGCCCCUGGCGUUUUAGCCAUUGCCAUUGAGGAAAAAAAUGAGAAGAAACUGACAAUGUGGCACAAGGAUAUGAAGGAUAAUUUUCUGAUAAUGCAAAGAAGCCUCUGACAAUCAGAUCUGCCUGAUUGUCAGUAACUAGCAACGCUCUAAGAUGGCUGGAACCUGGAAAGGAAGAAGUUCUGGAGUAAAACAGGUGCAAGUUGAUGCGAUGCUACUUGAUGGAACUGUGUGGGCAUAAAAAUAUGUCCCACCCAAAGGUAAAGCCUGAAGCCUAAGACAGUCACAUAAGCUGUCCAUGUGCCUGAACUGAAGGACUGUACUUUUCUUCUCUUAUGAGGAACACAUGUGGAUGUCCACUGGGGUAUAGUUGCCAAAGAAGACUGAUGAACUAUACUGACAAACAAGGAACCUAAGACUCUCUCCAAGUAGAGUUAAGCCCAGCAUCACAGUGGUUUAACAAAAGGUGCUUCCUGACACAGAUAAAGUCAGACUGACUUUUAAAUAUGUGGAGUAGAUAAACAGAGAUAUCCCAUCUGGAAUAUCCUUAUCCCCUUAUCAAAUUUUUCACCAGCUAGUUAAGUAAGCUUCUGGAAAUUUCAUUUUUUUAAGUCUUGAGGGCUUUAGGUUUCUAUAAGAAUUAGUAUGAUGUGAUGGAAGGAAUGUAGACAUUGCAAUCAGAUAGAGAAAUUCAAACCCUGAUACUUGUUAAUUAUGUGUGCUAGUCUGUGACUUUGAACCAAGUUACUUAAGUUCUCGGGGACUCAAUUUCUUUGUUGUUAAAUGGGGAUAGUACUAAGAGGGUUGUUUUAAGAAUUUGAAAUAAUGCAUGCAAAGCAUUUAGCAUGGUGACUGGUAGUGAUUAUUAUUAAAAUGGAAAUGUUCCUGGAGAAAGUGAUUAGUUCACAAGGCCAUAUUUCCAGAUGAUGUAAUUAACUGAGAAAGGAAGAUCAAAGAAGGAGGUAGACAGAAUGAGCGGCGAGGAUGAGCAACGGACAAGACAAAACACAAACUUCAGCUCCUCCAUAGCUCUGCCCUGAGUUUGGUGGAAACACUGGGCUAAGCAGUCUUAGAAGCAAGUACUGCAAUAGCUUUUCAUCUUGCUAAUGUAUUUUAGAUAUGGUCUUGCCUACAGGUGGGAUAUGACAUCUCUUGGUCUCUUUCAAUGCCAAUGUUAUAUAAUUUAGAAAUUUCAGAGCAAAGAAUUGGGAGGACCAAAAAUUAUAUGUUAGAUUUUUCUUUUUUAAUUUUUGUAAAUACAUAAGAGUUAUACAUAUUUAUGGGGUACUGUGAUAUUUUGAUACAAGUAUUCAAUGUAUAAUGAUCAAAUCAGUGUAACCGGACUAUCCAUCACCCAAAACAUUUAUUAUCUCUUUUUGUUAGGAACAUUUAUCUCAGUGAGAAAGAAACAAGUAUAAUACUGCCAAACAAAGAAGCUAACAUUUAAGAACAGAAGUCUAUAAUUAUGGAGUGGGGUCUGCAAACCAGCUCGAGUCACUGAAAAAAAAUCCUAAGAUCAAGUUCAUUGGUAUAUUUUAAAAAGUAACAAUAAUUACUUAUAUUAAAUACGACAGCUAUUAAGUAACUUAUAGUACUAAAUUAUAUAUAUCAAUAAUUUGGGCUCUAAGCUACUUUGUAGAGGCAAAGAGCUGAUCCAGGAAAUGUGUUUCCUUCUAUUAGAGCUCCAUAUGGCUCAAGAAUGCUUAUGUUGGGGAAAAUGGGGGUGUCAGCUCACAGAUUACUUAAUCUCCAUUGGGGUAGGAUUUUCCUGGUUACUCUCAUCUUGAGAUUGCCAUUGUGAUGAUUCAUUUGUGAACCAUGGAGAAAGAAAUCGAUUUCAAGUGUAGAGUUCAUCUGGAACUCUGUCAUUUUUCCAUCUCUUGAAACAUUUCAGCAAUCUCCUCAGUUCCUUUCCGUGUCUUACCUUACCUCCUUUCAAUCCACUCUGUAUUUCAUUAAGUAGUAUAUCCUUCUCUAUACUUCUGUCAGUUCUCUUCUGAAAAUCUGGAGGAGUGUCUUGUUCUAUAGCUUUAAAACUUCCCACAAUUUAAUUCUGCUAUCACACUCUCUCCAUUAUCACACAUACACACACACACACACACACACACAAUAUUAUCACAUUUAGUUUUUCAUAACUUCCAGUUAUAAAGAGUCUCUUUCCAUCAAAGCAAAACUUGCUGUUCCUUGAACAUAAUUGUCUGUCUCUGACCAUGACUUCCCAUAUUCCAAUCUCCAGAUGUGGAAUGCCACUUUUAUCUAGUCCUUUCACCCAUUUACAAUAUUUCAGGAUAACUUAAUUAUUGAUGCUUGGCUUGAACCAUUCCUUUCAUCUCUCACUCUGUGUGUGCAUGUAUGCAUGCAUGUGUGUAUUUCUAAAAUCUGGAUACUAUUAAUUUUCAUGAAUUUGAGUUUCAGUGAUGCUCCUUAUAAGAUUUUCAUAAAUGUUUUUCUUUUUGUCUUUGUAUUACUAGCCUGGAAUUUCUUUGGAUGAUUUCUUAAACAUUUAACACAAUAAAACAAUGUAUGUAAAAGCAGAAUGUAAAGUACAAAGUGCCAUGUAAUUAUUCAGUACCAUUUUUAUAUCCUCACAAAACAUGUAGUUAUCAUUAAAUAAAUCGGUUGAAGCUUAAAACUGAGAGAAAAAAUCCAGUAAGAAGUAAGCUGUAGCAUAUUCAUAAUCAAGACUAAC
rnacentral:lncRNA from 10 species